rnacentral:other from 1 species
CUCCAUAAGUAACUGAUGACCGGCUAUCUCGCCCAUGGCGGCUAACAUUAUUAUUGAAGGAAAUUAGACAUGUCCAACAUGAUCAAAGGUCAAGUGAAGUGGUUCAACGAAGCUAAAGGUUUUGGUUUCAUCACUCCAGCAGACGGCAGCAAAGAUGUAUUCGUGCACUUCUCUGCUAUCCAGGAUCAAGGCUUCAAGACUCUGGUUGAAGGCCAGAACGUACA